UGCCAGCAGCCGCGGUAAGACAGAGGGUGCAAACGUUGCUCGGAAUUACUGGGCGUAAAGCGCGUGUAGGCGGAUUCGCAAGCCGGUUGUGAAAUCCCUGAGCUCAACUCAGGAACUGCAUCCGAAACUGCGUGUCUAGAGUAGUGGAGAGGAAAGCGGAAUUCCCGGUGUAGAGGUGAAAUUCGUAGAUAUCGGGAGGAACAUCAGUGGCGAAGGCGGCUUUCUGGACACUUACUGACGCUGAGACGCGAAAGCGUGGGGAGCAAACAGGAUUAGAUA
rnacentral:rRNA from 1 species